AUUGAACGCUGGCGGCAGGCUUAACACAUGCAAGUCGAGCGGAGAUGAGGUGCUUGCACCUUAUCUUAGCGGCGGACGGGUGAGUAAUGCUUAGGAAUCUGCCAUUUAGUGGGGGACAACAUUCCGAAAGGAAUGCUAAUACCGCAUACGUCCUACGGGAGAAAGCAGGGGAUCUUCGGACCUUGCGCUAAAUGAUGAGCCUAAGUCGGAUUAGCUAGUUGGUGGGGUAAAGGCCUACCAAGGCGACGAUCUGUAGCGGGUCUGAGAGGAUGAUCCGCCACAAUGGGACUGAGACACGGCCCAGACUCCUACGGGAGGCAGCAGUGGGGAAUAUUGGACAAUGGGCGGAAGCCUGAUCCAGCCAUGCCGCGUGUGUGAAGAAGGCCUUUUGGUUGUAAAGCACUUUAAGCGAGGAGGAGGCUACUGAGACUAAUACUCUUGGAUAGUGGACGUUACUCGCAGAAUAAGCACCGGCUAACUCUGUGCCAGCCGCCGCAGUAACAC
rnacentral:rRNA from 1 species